rnacentral:misc_RNA from 1 species
CGUCAGAGAAUUAUGCAGGAAGAGAAAGCCAGGCUUAUAUUUAAAAGCUUUGAAGCUCCAUUCAUGGUAACUGCAUUAGAACCUGCUCACAAGCUGGAUUGUCUUGUUGAGUUACCUCCAAAGAAAGAUGAGAAAACUAUGGAGCAGAAUGGUACUAACUGCAUGAAAAAAAAUGAGGCUCCUGCCACAGAUCGGGUUUCUUCAAAUUUUGAUGUUGCUCAUACAAGUAUUGAGAGUGAAAUUUCUGAGCAAAUGAUAGUCAAAUCAGGAGAUAUUGCAUCUGUUUUAAAGAUCGGUUCCCUCAGUAUUAACCCAAAGCAGGCUGAACCAAAACCCUCUUCUGAUGUAGCUACUUGUGUUUCUAGUUCUGAUCCUGUUGAUGUUGUCACGGUGGGAUCCAUGCCUGUCAAAGUUAACGGAUUUACUGAAUCUUCUGGUUUUCUAAGAGUUGGUAGUAUCCCACUUGAUCCUAGGGCACUACAGCGUGAAAAAGGUGAUGCAUUUGCUAAGUAUCAGUCUUAGUAUUAAUCAAAUGGAAGGAUCAUCAUUAACUGGGAUCUCAUUGUGUUUGAGUAUGUACUAAAUUGUAGUUUUUGCAUGGCGGAUCAUUUUUUCCAUGCUCGAUUUAGGGCUACACUGCAGAAGUUGGAAAAUUUGAAUAUCUUGUUUUCAUAAAUUAUUGUUAUUUUUUUU